UGAUAUUGACCCAUGUUUGCCCCUACGUAGCUCCAUGUUGAUCCCAUUGACCCAUGUUGGCUCCUACGUAGUUCCAUCUUGAUCACAUUGACCCAUGUUGGCCUCUACGUAGCUCCAUGUUGAUCACAUUGACCCAUGUUGGCCCCUAUGUAGCUCCAUGUUGAUCCACGUUGACCCAUGUAGGCCCAUGAUGAUCUGCUGUCAGCCUACGUAGCUCCAUGUUGACCACGUUGACCUAUCUAUCUCUUUGCAGGUGAGAAACCCCACCAGUGCAGCAUCUGUUGGCGCUCCUUCUCUCUAA
rnacentral:lncRNA from 1 species